rnacentral:rRNA from 1 species
CGGAGGGUGCGAGCGUUGUCCGGAAUCACUGGGCGUAAAGGGCGCGUAGGUGGCCCGGUAAGUAGGGGGUGAAAUCUUGCGGCUCAACCGCAAGGCUGCCUUCUAAACUGCCAGGCUUGAGCACAGUAGAGGCAGGUGGAAUUCCCGGUGUAGCGGUGGAAUGCGUAGAGAUCGGGAAGAACAUCGGUGGCGAAGGCGGCCUGCUGGGCUGUUGCUGACACUGAGGCGCGACAGCGUGGGGAGCAAACAGGAUUAGAUACCCUGGUAGUCCACGCCGUAAACGAUGGGCACUAGGCGUCGGGGGGAGCGACCCUCCCGGUGCCGUCGCUAACGCAGUAAGUGCCCCGCCCUGGGGAGUACGGCCGCAAGGCUG